rnacentral:rRNA from 1 species
UACGUAGGGACCAAGCGUUGUUCGGAUUUACUGGGCGUAAAGGGCGCGUAGGCGGCGUGGUGAGUCACUUGUGAAAUCUCUGAGCUUAACUCAGAACGGCCAAGUGAUACUGCUGUGCUAGAGUGCAGAAGGGGCAAUCGGAAUUCUUGGUGUAGCGGUGAAAUGCGUAGAUAUCAAGAGGAACACCUGAGGUGAAGACGGGUUGCUGGGCUGACACUGACGCUGAGGCGCGAAAGCCAGGGGAGCAAACGGG